rnacentral:rRNA from 1 species
AAUUUAAAUGGCUGCAGUAUUUUGACUGUACAAAGGUAGCAUAAUCAUUUGUCUUUUAAUUGAAGGCUGGUAUGAAUGGUUGGAUGAAAAAUAUACUUUCUUUAUUUUAUAUAAAAAAUUUAAUUUUUUAGUUAAAAAGCUAAGAUUAUUUUAUAGGACGAGAAGACCCUAUAGAACUUUAUUUUCUAAAUAUAUAUUUUUUAUAGAUUUUUAUAAUAUUAUAUAUUUAUGUUAAUUUUAUUGGGGUGAUUGAAAAAAUUAUAUAACUUUUUCUAUUUUUAACAUUUAUUUAUGUUAUUUUGAUCCUUUAAUAUGGAUAAUAAGAUUAAGUUACCUUAGGGAUAACAGCGUUAUUUUUUUGGAGAGUUCUUAUCGAUAAAAAAGUUUGCGACCUCGAUGUUGGAUUAAAAUAAGUGACAGAAGUAGAAUA